AAGUGCCCCCAGGGAAGGCCUUGCCCGAUCCUCGCUUUCCCCCUGCACUGGAGCCCAGCUGGAAUCCAGUGGUGAGUACUUUGUUGUUACUGACUCCACUGACUCACCACUGGUCUUCAAAAGCUCAUGUACAUGAUAUUUAACUUGACACAUUCUGUUUAGGUCUGGAAGGAGUAAAGGACGAAUCCGAAAGAGGAAAAUACUCCCAGGGCUCGUCCCGUCUGCUAAAGAAGUUGCUGAAGGAAAUGGAGAAGGCAGAGCGUGGAACGGAACAGCCAACUGAGCAGGAUGCACUGCAGGAAGACAGCUAUCCCACUCAGCCAGUCUCAGACAGUGUAAGAGAGGCAGCGCCGACACUAGCAUGCCAGGUAAUUUCUGUCCCGUGGCCAUCCAGUGUCACUAAUGUGUUUCUUCCCUGGGCUGGCUCCGGCUGUGCCUUGUGCUGGCUGGAGCCCGACCUUCAGCCUGGGGGGGGGUGUCCUGCGGGAGAGCUCAGGAAGCGUGAGCUGGGGAAAGUGUGAGGGAAUCUGCUCUGCAGUGCUGCUCACAGACAAAACCCAGAGCCCAGAGCACAGCCAGCCCUCAGCCCAGAGGAAGACACGGGUAGUUUCUGUGCAGCCUCUCCCUAUGCAAUGAGAGGUGGAGCAAUCUUUCUUGUCCCCCGAUGCUUAGGCACCAGGGGCAGAGGCUCCCAAUGUAGAAAAAGACAAUCUCCUGGGCCUAUGAAGCACACUGAGGGAUUAUCUGUAAUGCAGGUGAAGGUAACUUGGGACAUUGUCUUGUUUUCUUCCAGGGAUGAAUGCAAGAAAAGCACAAUGGCUGCUGUUCACAGAUCUGCGCGAAAGCGCCUCGUGAUGGUGAUGUUUAGUGUUCUGAUGUCUGUGCUGGUGCUGGCCUGUGGUGCUGUGAUAUGGAUAUGCAAAAGAAUACCGACCAUGCAUGAGGAACGAGAGAGCAGCAGAACAAGCUGAUCCAAACAGAUACCGACAGCUGGAGGGCUGUUCCAGACUUUGGACGCAUGAGAGAAGAUGGACGCAAUCGGCUA
rnacentral:lncRNA from 1 species